rnacentral:rRNA from 1 species
AAUCUUCCGCAAUGGACGCAAGUCUGACGGAGCAACGCCGCGUGAGCGAUGAAGGUCUUCGGAUCGUAAAGCUCUGUUGUCAGGGAAGAACACGUGUGAGAGUAACUGCUCACACCGUGACGGUACCUGACCAGAAAGCCACGGCUAAUUACGUGCCAGCAGCCGCGGUAAUACGUAGGUGGCAAGCGUUGUCCGGAAUUAUUGGGCGUAAAGCGCGCGCAGGCGGUCUUUUAAGUCUGAUGUGAAAUCUUACAGCUUAACUGUAAGCGGUCAUUGGAAACUGGGAGACUUGAGUGCAGAAGAGGAGAGUGGAAUUCCAUGUGUAGCGGUGAAAUGCGUAGAGAUAUGGAGGAACACCAGUGGCGAAGGCGACUCUCUGGUCUGUAACUGACGCUGAGGCGCGAAAGCGUGGGGAUCAAACA